GGGAAAUUGAUCUGUGCAUCCUGGGGGGC
rnacentral:piRNA from 1 species